rnacentral:rRNA from 1 species
CUAACACAUGCAAGUCGAACGCAGUAGCAAUACUGAGUGGCAGACGGGUGAGUAACAUGUGGGAAUCUGCCUUGUGGUUCAGGACAACAUUGGGAAACCGAUGCUAAUACUGGAUAAGCCCUUACGGGGAGAGUUUUAAUGCCAUAAGAUGAGCCCGCAUUUGAUUAGUUAGUUGGUGAGGUAAUGGCUCACCAAGACAAUGAUCAAUAGCUGAUCUGAGAGGAUGAUCAGCCACACUGGGACUGAGACACGGCCCAGACUCCUACGGGAGGCAGCAGUGGGGAAUCUUGCACAAUGGAGGAAACUCUGAUGCAGCGAUGCCGCGUGAGUGAAGAGGGCCUUUGGGUUGUAAAGCUCAUUUGUAGGGGAAGAUAAUGACUGUACCCUAAGAAUAAGGUCCGGCUAACUUCGUGCCAGCAGCCGCGGUAAUACGAAGGGACCUAGCGUAGUUCGGAAUUACUGGGCGUAAAGCGCGCGUAGGCCGUUGAGUUAGUUAAUUGUGAAAUCCCAAAGCUUAACUUUGGAACUGCAAUUAAAACUGCUCGACUAGAGUUUGAUAGAGGAAAGCGGAAUACAUAGUGUAGAGGUGAAAUUCGUAGAUAUUAUGUAGAACACCAGUUGCGAAGGCGGCUUUCUGGAUCAACACUGACGCUGAGGCGCGAAAGUAUGGGUAGCAAAGAGGAUUAGAUACCCCUCGUAGUCCAUACCAUAAACGAUGAUUGCUAGAUGUUGGAAAUUUUUUUCAGUAUCGCAGCUAACGCGUUAAGCAA